rnacentral:tRNA from 1 species
GAGGGCAUAGCUCAGUGGUAGAGCACAUACUUAGCACGCAUAAGGUCUUGGGUUCAACCCCCAGUACCUCCA